rnacentral:rRNA from 1 species
AUAUCAAUAAGCGGAGGAAAAGAAACCAACAGGGAUUGCCCUAGUAACGGCGAGUGAAGCGGCAACAGCUCAAAUUUGAAAUCUGGCGUCUUUGGCGUCCGAGUUGUAAUUUGCAGAGGGCGCUUUGGCAUUGGCAGCGGUCCAAGUUCCUUGGAACAGGACGUCACAGAGGGUGAGAAUCCCGUACGUGGUCGCUAGCCUUUACCGUGUAAAGCCCCUUCGACGAGUCGAGUUGUUUGGGAAUGCAGCUCUAAAUGGGAGGUAAAUUUCUUCUAAAGCUAAAUACUGGCCAGAGACCGAUAGCGCACAAGUAGAGUGAUCGAAAGAUGAAAAGCACUUUGGAAAGAGAGUUAAAAAGCACGUGAAAUUGUUGAAAGGGAAGCGCUUGCAGCCAGACUUGCCUGUAGUUGCUCAUCCGGGUUUCUACCCGGUGCACUCUUCUACGGGCAGGCCAGCAUCAGUUUGGGCGGUUGGAUAAAGGUCUCUGUCAUGUACCUCCCUUCGGGGAGAUCUUAUAGGGGAGACGACAUGCAACCAGCCUGGACUGAGGUCCGCGCAUCUGCUAGGAUGCUGGCGUAAUGGCUGUAAGCGGCCC